ensembl:lncRNA
ACUGUAGGGGUCUGUCUAUAGGACACAAGGAGAAGAGACCCCACGCGGUGGUGCAGGUGUCAGUCAUCAACACACAGGCACACACCAUCACUAACUACUGCUGUACAGAGAUAGUAGAGGUAAGAACACACCAUCACUGACUACUGCUGUACAGAGAUAGUAGAGGUAAGAACAUACCAUCACUGACUACUACAGAGAUAGUAGAGGUGAGAAGACACCAUCACUGACUACUACAGAGAUAGUAGAGGUGAGAAGACACCAUCACUGACUACUACAGAGAUAGUAGAGGUAAGAACAUACCAUCACUGACUACUACAGAGAUAGUAGAGGUGAGAAGACACCAUCACUGACUACUACAGAGAUAGUAGAGGUGAGAAGACACCAUCACUGACUACUACAGAGAUAGUAGAGGUGAGAAGACACCAUCACUG